rnacentral:rRNA from 1 species
CCUACGGGAGGCAGCAGUGAGGAAUAUUGGUCAAUGGGCGUAAGCCUGAACCAGCCAAGUCGCGUGAGGGAUGAAGGUUCUAUGGAUCGUAAACCUCUUUUAUAAGGGAAUAAAGUGUGGGACGUGUCCUAUUUUGUAUGUACCUUAUGAAUAAGGAUUGGCUAAAUCCGUGCCAGCAGCCGCGGUAAUACGGAGGAUCCGAGCUUUAUCCGGAUUUAUUGGGUUUAAAGGGUGCGUAGGUGGCCUUUUAAGUCAGCGGUUAAAGUCUGUGGCUCAACCAUAGAAUUGCCGUUGAAACUGAGGGGCUUGAGUAUGUUUGAGGCAGGCGGAAUGCGUGGUGUAGCGGUGAAAUGCUUAGAUAUCACGCAGAACCCCGAUUGCGAAGGCAGCCUGCCAAGCCAUGACUGACGCUGAUGCACGAAAGCGUGGGGAUCAAACAGGAUUAGAUACCCGGGUAGUC